rnacentral:rRNA from 1 species
GACGAACGCUGGCGGCGUGCUUAACACAUGCAAGUCGAGCGGUAAGGCCCUUUCGGGGGUACGCGAGCGGCGAACGGGUGAGUAACACGUGGGUGACCUGCCCUCAGCUCUGGGAUAAGCCUGGGAAACUGGGUCUAAUACUGGAUAUGACUCCACGGUGCAUGUCGUGGGGUGGAAAGCCUUGUGCGGCUGAGGAUGGGCCCGCGGCCUAUCAGCUUGUUGGUGGGGNGAUGGCCUACCAAGGCGACGACGGGUAGCCGGCCUGAGAGGGCGACCGGCCACACUGGGACUGAGACACGGCCCAGACUCCUACGGGAGGCAGCAGUGGGGAAUCUUACGCAAUGGGCGAAAGCCUGACGCAGCGACGCCGCGUGAGGGAUGACGGCCU